UAUAUUCUUUUUUUCUUUUUUGCGUGUCUCCUACUGCCUGCUGUGAUAGUUGCCCCUCCAUGUCACAUAUACUGCACAUAUAUGAUCAAUGCAUUGGCAAUCAUCAACCACUCGAAUCGUGGAUUAUCAGUCCCAACGCCAAACUCACGUGAGCCUUUAUUGGUGGCUUACACAGAUUGAAUGGCCCUCUACAUGAUGAAGCUGCUAGCGUUCUUCCAAAGGUUGGACAAAAGUGGGAACCAAUUCUUCAUUCACAGAUCAAUUGAUAAUGGGAACUAGUGUCCCAAUUACUAGUGGAAGCUAUUGGGAGUUUCAGAGGUUUUUCCCUCAAUUCUUGAUACACUAAAUAGAUACUGCUCAAGCAUAUGAUUUAAGAGAUCCAUGUUUCUUUCAAGAGCCGGAUUAUGUCCAUGAGUGCAAGGUGAAGGUCGUGAAUCUGCUUGUAUAUGUAUGCGACUCCGAAUAACCAAUGCUGCAAGUAAUCUUCUUUGCUCAUCACAAAGAGCGCACAGUGUUCCUUCGACCCCAAAGUAACCUUACUUAUGCAUGUCAUUGAGAUUUGUAUUGUGUAUCCUUUGUUAGGAUGCAGAUUGCAUGGUUUACAACUAUUCUGUCCUUUUUAUCAGUGGUUGAAAGCUGUAAUGAGAUUAGGGUUAUUGGGAACUGGUAGUGAAAUGUGCUGAUGUAAAGCACAUCAAUGGUUAAUGGUAUUCGACUCUUGUCCUUGUGGCUGUUGCAUUGUGGGUGCGCUUGCAAGCCAGCCAGACGACCUCAAUAAAAAAAUUUCUUUUCUGGGUUUC